GAAGACGUGACUAAGACUUUUAUUAACAACUACAAGCGUUUUAUCAGGGUCUUUGACGCACUGUGUCCCAUUGAUUGGAGUAUUGGCUAUUAAAGAUUUCUCUUGUAGUUAGAUUGUGAUCAGCCCCCAUUCUGCAGCUGUGUUUGUAUAUCGUUCAGAAGACAUUGCCAAAAAAUUUUGUGAAAAUUUCCGGCGAUUCAUCCAGAACGAACCGUUAAUAGGGGAAGUCGAUUGGGAUAAAGGAUAUUAACUUUUGUAUAUACUCAAUGUGGGUUUGCCAGGAUCAGAUUUUAAUACUGUGCCUUAAGGAUAAAUCAGAUUUUUUUUUCAUUAUGUACCUUUGGGAUAAUUAUCAGAUUUUUGUAUCUUCUUCCUCAAAUUCUUAUAAUUCUUCAGUUGUGUUAGGAUCAAGUGUAAUGUACUUUAGGCAGCACUGGAUAAUGGGACCCUGGAUAAUGGGCCAGGGAUAGGCCUCUUAUUAAGACCCAUGAGGGUUGCCCCGCAUUAGACCCAGAUAAAGUUAACCAUCAGACUCAUAAAGGAAUUAGAUGAGCUGCCCCAGUGAGACAUGUGGAACCCAUAUGGGUACUUUGGCUCCCAUAGUGAGUUAUACAUGGGAUUUAUGUGGGAUGUCCCAAUGGUGCUAUUAGAUAUGGCAAUUACAAGGAAAGAAUAUUUUGCAGAUGAUUUUCCUAUUUGUUUUGAAUUCACAAAGAAAAAGAAAUCUUCCAUCUUUUUCUUGAUUUGUAUUCCCAUUCUUGUGAAAAUAUAUUAUAAGAUCUAAAAAUAAAAUUUGACUAUUUCUUUG
rnacentral:lncRNA from 1 species